GGCUGUGCUGGGUCUUCGUGGCUGCGCACAGGCUGUGUCUAGUUUUGGCGGGUCGGAGCUGCUGCUUGUUGCAGUAUGGGGCUUCUCAUUGUGGAGCACAGGCUCUCAGGUGUUCAAGCUUAAGUAGUUGUGGUUCACAGGCUCUGGAGCAUGGGGUCAGUAGUUGUGGCCCACGGGCUUAGUUUCUCCAUGGCAUGUGGGAUCCUCCUGGUCCAAGGAUCAAACCUGUGUCCCCUGCAUUGGCAGGCAGAUUCUUAUCCAUUGUACCACCAGGGAAGACCCUGAGUGUUUCUUUAAGAAGGUCAUUAAAAUGCUCCGUGAGACCAGCUGCCUGCAGGCCUAACGUGAAUGGAAGAUCCAAAGAGUGUUAGAUUGCAGAGGCCACUGUGGAAUCUCCUGAGAGGUCUCCUGGUCAGAGUCUGUGAUGUCUGUCCAUCCAAAGCGAACAGGCAUAAAGAAGAAAGAGAGAACCUAUUUAGAAGAGGAGUUCUGGUUGGGGGUUGCCAAAAGGAGGCUCUGAUAUUGAAAAGUCCUUGCAUCUCGGGGAUGAAUCCACUUGAUCAUGGUGUAUGAUCUUUUUAAGUUUUGAUAUCAGAUGGUGGCCUCACAGAAUGAGCUUGGA
ensembl:lncRNA